GGGGGUGCACUGGUUUCGACUGGGGAGCUAAGUGAUGAUGGCAUGCGGAGGAUAUCGGUUGGCCUCCUAAAAAAACCGGUAAAAACCACAAUUGCAGAUACACAAACGUAUGCAAUAGCUGCUUAAUUUAAACGAGUAGCACGAUACUAUGACUUUUGACCAAGGGUGUCAUGGUAUUGUUAUUUUACUUGGUAUGGGUAGAGCUACCGUCCGCCUCUAGGGCGUUCUAUUCCGAGAUAAAACGAGGCAAGCUUGUUCCCGUGUUGUGUUCUUCACAAGGAGCAGGUGUUAUUAUGAGAACACUAAGCAUGUAGAUAUCAUUGUGGACCUUGCUCAGGACGAGAGUUCGAUUCUCUCCACCUCCAUCA
rnacentral:tmRNA from 1 species